rnacentral:lncRNA from 1 species
GUUUAUAGUGUAGACCCUGGUCACAGGGAACACCAAAGACCCAAUUGUUAUAAACCAUCAGUAGAACUCUGUUAUCCUUUGUAGUUAAACACAGAUACCAAAUCUUUCAGGCAUGUUGGCUGUGGCAGUGCCAUUUAUUAUAUUAUUAGAAGGGUUUAGCAGCCAUCUCAAAAAAAUAAAUAAAUUAUAAAUAAGAGGGACACAGCUAGUAAGAGUAAGAAAGAGGUUUCCCCACUGCCUCUCUAUCCUAUCCUUAUGUUCACCAACUUCUCCAUGUGAGGGAUCCUGCUGUGAUACCUCCCAGGUCUGCUCAUUAAACAUUUUCCCAUGUGGUUCCACUAUCUUAGGACAGUCUUUCCUUAGCACCAACUCUCUGUCCUCAGUCUUGGUUACUUCAUCUGAAACAAAGAAAAAGGCUAGGUAAAUGUCACUUGUUCCCUGAGCCUAUGGGAAGGUGACUAUGUCUAUAAAAAUAUAUCAUAGAAAAGGAAGUGGGCUAGAAACAGAAGGGCUAGUGUGGUAACACUUUCCCCUACGUAGGGAGGAACGUUUGCCCUCUUUGGCAUAAUGCAGGUCAGUCCAUCCCCAUGUAGACUUGGCCUGAGUCGUUGUUUUUUGUUUUGUUUUUUGAGCCAGAGUGUCACUCUGUAGCCCAGGCUGGAGUGCAAUGGUGUGAUCUCAGCUCACUGCAGCCUCCAUUUCCCAGGUUCAAGCGAUUCUCCUGCCUCAGUCUCCCAAGUAGUUGAAACUACAGGCACGCACCCCCACGCCCAACUAAUUUUGUAUUUUUAGUACAGACGCGGUUUCGCCAUGUUGGCCAUCCUGGUCUUGAACUCCUGACCUCAGGUGAUCCACCCACCUCGGCCUCCCAAAAUGCUGCGAUUACAGGUGUGAGCCACUGCACCCAGCUGGCAGUACCUUUUUUAUACUUCAUAGGGAGGGAUGGUUAAAGAUUAGGGUGGCUUCUCUGGAGUAUUCCCUUACACCUCUCUCUCCUUUCUGAGAUAACCUCAAAGUGACCCUUUCCAAGGAAAGUUACUUCAUGUAUUCAUUCAUUCAUUUUCAGAACAAGUAUUAAACUUCUACUACUUAGGUGCUUCAGGCAGUCCAGUAGUCCCCACUUAUCUGUGGUUUUGCCUUUACAAAGUUUCAGCUACCCACAGUCAAUCACAGUUCAAAUAUACUACAUGGAAGAUUCCAGAGGCAAACAAUUUUUUUUUUUUUUUUUUGAGACGGAGUCUCACUCUGUUGCCCCUUGGCUCACUGUAAUCUCCGCUUCCCGGAUUCAAGCGAUUCUCCUGCCUCAGCCUCCCGAGUAGCUGGGACUACAGGCACACAUCACCAUGCCUGGCUAAUUUUUUGUUUGUUUGUAUUUUUAGUAGAGAUGAGAUUUCGUCAUGCUGGCCAGGCUGGUCUCAAACUCCUGGCCUCAUGAUCCAUCCGCCUUGGCCUCCCAAAGUGCUGGGAUUACAGGCGUGAGCCACCACGCCCAGCACAAACAAUUCUUAAGUUUUAAAUUUGGCACCAUUCUGAGUAGUAUGAUGAAAUCUCAUGCCAUCUGGCUCUGUCUCACCCAGGACAUGAGUCUUCCUUUUGUCCAGCAUAUCCACACUGUACAUGCUGCCUGCCUGUUGCACACAUAGUAGCCAUCUUGGUUAUGAGAUUGACUGUUGCAGUGUCUCAGUGCUUGUGUUUACAUACCCCUUAUUUUACUUAAUAAUGGCCCCAAAGUGCAAAAGUAGUGAGGCUGGCAUAUUAUUAUAAUUGUAAUUGUUCCAUUUUAUUAUUAGUUAUUGUUGUUAAUCUCUUACUAUGCCUAAUUUAUAAAUUAAACUUUAUCUUAGGUAUGUAUAGGAAAAAAAUAGUAUAUACAGGGUUCAGUAUUACCCUUGGUUUCAGGCAUCUACUGGGGGUCUUGGAAUGUAUCCCCCUUGAAUAGUGAGGACUACUAUACUUUAUGAAUUUCAAAUCCACAAUUAUCCAAGGUGCAUUCCCAUCAUAAGACCUUUGCUCUAGUGCUUCUCUCUUCCUGGAAACUUC